CAACCGGCUUUACUUCCGCAACUGCUCGAUAACCGCGUGUGAUCUUCAGCCUGGGGUAUCCAGGCAGGCCACUGACAUAAUCCCUGAAUUUUAGAUCAAAAUACGAUGAGUGAGGAGCAAAAUCCUUCUGUUUUGCAACCCAAUUGUGAAUGGGCGCGCUUGUGUGCUGUAAAAUUCUCUCUCAUCCCUCUAGGUUAGUUGUGGUGGUGUUAAAAUACAGGUCUAGGCGUUAUCAGAGGUGCAGGUGUUCCACCAUUUGAGUAUGGGAGGGUGUGGAAGCGUUUCUAGCCCUCUUCCUACCUCUGUAAUGCUUUCUUCCUCUCUUAAUUAAUUCUUCCCCCUGCCAGCUCACCAAGUGUCCUCAGAGAGGCAUUUAAUUGGCACAGAAGCCCAGCAGCUCCGUGACCCUCCCCGCAAACACUCACGGCCAAGAACAGAAGCAGCUCCCCUACCUUCCUGCGGCUGGUGCGGUGCGGCGGCGGUGGAGGCUCCGCGGUGGAGGCUCCGCGGUGGAGGUCGGGGUGUCGCCCACCGACGCAGGCCCUGGUGGUGCCGCCGCCUCAUUUUUAAUAAAAGCGCCCCUGCCAAAGCAACUGUAAAGGGAAAUCAAGAUCCCCUCUUUGUGUCUCUUGAUCUUCACCAGACUUGAAGAACCUGUAGUUCUUGGAGCUGGAGGAUACUACUGAAUUUCAAGGAUUAUGGGUAUGAAACAACUAUGCAGACACCAAGGUCAGUGAAGGGCAGAGGAAAAAGAGGAAGAGUUUGAUCAAGAAGCCAGUCCUUCGGCAAAGAAAUGGGAGGAAGGAGCGAGAGAAACCGGACAUGAAGCAAAAACUACCCAGUCCCUGACCUCAUCAGAACUUCGAGACAUGUGGAAAGAUGACAGCUGCCAGCCAGAUGAGCGGAUUGCUGCCUGGCUGCUCCAAUGCUGGGAUAACAGGGCCAACAGUCAGCAGUUAGAAGCUCUGCCACCAGGCUGAGCAGAUCGUCCAGUCGGUGACACCUCACACAGCUGAAUUCGCUACUGGUGACACCUCACGCAGCUGUAUUCGCUACUGCCAUCCGUUACCAGUGAAAGGCUCUGGCACGCCCUGCAGCCUGAGGCCUGGACGGCUGCACGCUUUUGUGGGAGCUCUGUCCGGGUUGCCACAUCCAUCCUGGCGAGCGAGGAGGACGUGGCUUUCUGUCGGGUGGAAUACCACUGCUAAUCUCCUCCAGGGAGGGCCAUGAGCACCGGCUGAAGGCACCCCUGGAGCCGGUGGGGGUGACGAUGCCCUUCCCGCGCAAACUGCGGCGCCACGCGCGGGGGGGGGGGGGGGGGGCGCGGUUGCUGUGGCAACGCCAGGGUCUCGCGAGAGCUGCCGGCGCUUGGCGGGUCUCGCCGCUGCCCCGGCGCUUCCCCGCCUGAGGGAACCCCCCCCGCCGGGACCUGCCGCUCCGCUGCGGGCCGUUCUGCGGUGCUGUCAUCUAGGAUUUCUGUAAACUUUAGGUAAUUAAGGUCUCAACUUUCCAUAUGUAUGAUGGAUAUGUCUUCUCUAGAUACGAGAUACGUAAUUAUCUUAAAUGGGUAGCAGGACAAUACAGACAUUUUAGAAAACACAGAUACUAAAUAGGCUGUUCUGCUGUUGAAGGUCAUUAGCAGUGGUGGUUGCUUUUUUUGUUAACGUAAAAUACAUUAGUCUUGUUUAACUAUUGCAAAGUGAAGUAAUGCCGAGUAGAAAAUAACGUGUGCUGGUGCCCCCCACAAAGUUAGUGCUUUUGAACUCCUCGACACAUUUCAAAACACAGGGUAAGAUGGAAUCUUUGCUUGUAGUUCCAAGUACGGGACAAAACGUAGCCUUCCCAGUUCAGAAGGAGCUCAGAAAGAAAUUAUGACUCAGAGACGGUCCUCUGAAUCAUACUUCCCCUGAGCUGUAGCAUUGCACAAGCGGGGAGUGCGCGAUCAGCUCUUUGCCAGAGGAAGCAAGUUCCCUCUCCCAUGUCCAGUCAGCUCCCUUUGCUGAUACAGAAGGCAGCAAAAUGACGAUUAUGUUUACUUCUGACCCAAUUUCCCCCAACUUCUCCACUUACUCAUGGAAGGAAAUGAUGUCUCUUCGAGGUUUGCUCAUUAAUACAGUGCCCUUAAUAUAGUUUUCAGGAAGGAUGGCGUGAUGGCACAGCAGAAUGCAAGAACGCCUUACAACUUACACGCGGAACUUUAUAGCCAUCAGAUGCCUGGUGUAUUAAGUAUGUUUUACUGCUCAUUUUUAGGUAGGUGGGACACUACUCACUUGUCGGGUCUGAAACGAAUGCUUGUUCCUUGAGCACUCACUUUUCAUCCUAUAGGAAGCAAAUCUGUCGCAGUGAGCAAAUAUAUCAGCAACACCUACGUGGCUUGCAAAGUAUUGUUUGAGUUUGAUUCCAGGCAGAUUUGGCAAGACUAAUGAUCACCAAGUAAAACACAAUUAAACAAAUCUGAGUUCUUGGUAAUUUUUUUCAGAAAACAAACCAUACUCACAUGCAAACCAACAAAAAUAAGUAUUUCCUGUGUGUUAAAUUUAAGAAUUUAAGAAUAGUGUAAGCAAAUAAUCAGUUGAUCAGCUAAUUAAGCUCUGCAAUGACUUAUAACAGAUUCAGCCAGCAGAUUUUACAGACAAACAGUGAUUUAGCUGUAAAUAAUUGAGAUUAAAGUAUUCAUUUGUUAGUAUUAGAUCAGCUAGCAAUGCAAAGGUCCAUUGUUCUUAAUGGCUAAAGAGGUUAAUGAUUCUGGUAACCUACUAGGAAUCAAGCAUUUAGAAUUCUAAUUUGGUAGGAACAGUAAUUCUAUGUGAAGCCUGACAUUGAAUAGGGGUUUUUUUUUUUCCUGGUUGAUGAAGGAGGAAAAUCUAAAGUAGAUACGAUAGCAUAUGUUGAAAUUGGUCAUUUCAGUGAUAGACAUCUAUACAUUUAUAGUGAAAUUUUAAGAAAAUUUUACCUGAACCAUGCACUUAAGGGACAAAUUACGCACCUAUCAAUAUAGGAGGAAAUGCAUGAGGAAAUAUCAAUUUGUUCAGUUUAGCCUGUAGGACUGCUUGGGUAAGUGGCUGCUCACCAACACAAAUAUAGAUUGUGCAAUCUAAUUUUAAGUAUGCAACUUGAAAUUCCAUUCUGUAUGAUCCUUACACCUACGUUUGUUCUUCAGAAAGAGCAUUCACAGAUUCACAAGUAGUUUUCACAACAACUAAAAAUUUUUACAAAAGAAAAUAGGUUAUAAUAAAGCCAGGGAAAAAAUUAUGUUGCAAUAAAUUGAAACAACAGGAGAUUGUCACUGAAUAUUUGCUCUGUCUCCUGAUACUCAAUUGUCUGGGCUGUUCUGUUAUUCUUGUUAGUCUUUUAUGCUUGUCAAGCUUUAUUUUCCAUCACUUUACAAAAACUGAAGAAUAGACUGAGAAAUAAAUGAUCAUAAUUAUAAAAAAUAUGAUGUGCCUGUGUUUUUUAGGAACGUAACAGUCAUUCUGACAGAUACGCCCUUAUAGUGUAGAAGGUAAAACUGGUAAACCUGAUCUAGACUGUCUCUAUGACUGGCAUACCAUGUGGCCAGUGAACAAGUGUUAGUCUGCUUCCAUGGUAUUAUUCACAGUUUUAUGGAGUUCUGAGAAGAGGCGUUAUCUAUAGUGCCUUUUUAGGUAACAGUGACAUCAUUUGUAUGAUUUGUUUUAUAUUGUACUUAUUUUUAAUAUAUCGGUGUAGAUUAACUCAACACUUCUUGGUACUGAUGCAUCUCGGAGGAUAGGGUCAUUUUCCCCUGUACCCAUGGCUUGAUGUGAGUGAGAGUAGGGGAGAGGAAAAAGUCUGCGUAAAUAUGUUGUAUCAGUGCAAAAUCAAUCACUUAAUGCCUUUCAGGGCUUCCCUUACUAUUGUGCUUUCGGUAAUAGAAUUUUCUGUUACUUAGUACUGUUGGCAGUUCAGUGUUAUUUCUGUGUAUUUGUACAAGAUGACCUUUACCACAAUAUGAAGAAUAAAUAAUAAUGGAGGGGCAGUGAGUCUCUAAAUUAUAUUUCAUACUAGAUUAGAACAGGCUUACCUCUCUUUUUUAAUAAAGGCAUUUGAUAUAUUUUGAAAUAAAGUAUUUCUUCAUUUUUUUGAAUAAAAACAUCUCCAAAAUUUAUAUCCUAAAACUCCUGAAGAUAAAAUGUACAAGGUAUGCAUUUGUAUCACUGCAUUUCAUAGCAAUGUAUUUCUCAUCUCCAGGCAGUUUAUAAAGGAGUAGUGCUCAGAAGAUUUCAAAAUCUUGCCUAACAUUCUGCUGUUGCUUCUUAAAUCAGAUUCUGAAGUGUUCGUGUUCCAAAUCUCAAUUACUUUUGAAUCUUGCAAAGUGAACCUGGCACUGGAUGCUAAUCCCUUCAACAUAAAAGCAUUGUAUGAUGUAAUAAAACUGUAUUUCAUACAGUCUUACAAAUAAAUUAUGUCCCAAAUAAGUUUAUA